rnacentral:rRNA from 1 species
AUUGAACGCUAGCGGGAGGCUUUACACAUGCAAGUCGAACGAGUGGCGGACGGGUGAGUAAUAUAUGGGAACGUGCCCAGUGGAGGGGGAUAACUACUCGAAACGGUGGCUAAUACCGCAUACUAUUGGAUGGGCCGAUAUGGGAUUAGCUAGUUGGUGGGGUAAAGGCUCACCAAGGCAACGAUCCGUAGCUGGUUUGAGAGGAGGACCAGCCACACUGGGACUGAGACACGGCCCAGACUCCGACGGGAGGCAGCAGUGGGGAAUAUUGGACAAUGGGGGCAAGCCUGAUCCAGCCAUCCCGCGUGUAUGAGAAGGCCUUCGGGUUGUAAAGUACUUUUGGCAGGGAAGCGGUAUCCGCAGAAUAAGCACCGGCUAACUACGUGCCAGCAGCCGCGGUAAUAC